GAUGAACGCUAGCGGCAGGCCUAACACAUGCAAGUCGAGGGAGAGGUUACCUUCGGGUAACCAAAACCGGCGCACGGGUGCGUAACGCGUAUACAAUCUGCCUUUCACAUAGGGAUAGCCCGAAGAAAUUUGGAUUAAUACCUAAUGGUAUAUAAGAGCGGCAUCGUUUUUAUAUUAAAGCUACGGUGGUGAAAGAUGAGUAUGCGUUCUAUUGGCUAGUUGGAGAGGUAACGGCUCCCCAAGGCGACGAUAGAUAGGGGUUCUGAGAGGGAUGUCCCCCACACUGGUACUGAGAUACGGACCAGACUCCUACGGGAGGCAGCAGUGAGGAAUAUUGGGCAAUGGUCGGAAGACUGAUCCAGCCAUGCCGCGUGCAGGAUGAAGGUCCUAUGGAUUGUAAACUGCUUUUGUAAGGGAAGAAUAAGGAGUACGUGUACUUUGAUGACGGUACCUUACGAAUAAGCAUCGGCUAACUCCGUGC
rnacentral:rRNA from 1 species